rnacentral:rRNA from 1 species
CGGGGGGGGCAAGCGUUGUUCGGAAUUACUGGGCGUAAAGGGCUCGUAGGCGGCCAACUAAGUCGGACGUGAAAUCCCCAGGCUCAACCUGGGAACUGCGUCCGAUACUGGAUGGCUUGAAUUCGGGAGAGGGAUGCAGAAUUCCAGGUGUAGCGGUGAAAUGCGUAGAUAUCUGGAGGAAUACCGGUGGCGAAGGCGGCAUCCUGGACCGACAUUGACGCUGAGGAGCGAAAGCUAGGGGAGCAAACGGGAUUAGAUACCCCGGUAGUCCUAGCCCUAAACGAUGAAUGCUUGGUGUGGCGGGUAUCGAUCCCUGCCGUGCCGAAGCUAACGCAUUAAGCAUUCCGCCUGGGGAGUACGGUCGCAAGGCUG